AUAAAAAUAAUAAUAAAAAUAAUAAUAAAAAUAAUAAUAAAAAUAAUAAUAAAAAUAAUAAUAAAAAUAAUAAUAAAAAUAAUAAUAAAAAUAAUAAUAAAUAUAAUAAAAAUAAUAGUGUUAAUAAUAGUAUCUAUUGUCUAUGAAAAUUUUGUUGUUUUUAUGGUAUAACUAAUCUUGGUAAGAAAUUAUAACAGAGCAGCAGGGCAUCGACAUUUUUACCUAAAGUUAGAGGGGCAGGGCAAUACAUUUUUUCAUUUAACAAAACGAAGGGCAGGAAGAUUUUUCUGAUGAAAUUUUACUUUUCCACCGGCCCUGCCUUUUAGAAAAUUUUGCGUGGUCCCUAACUUCCCGUAAACAGCACAUUUCUACACCAAGCUCUCGAUUAGUCUUCAGCUGCACUUGCAUGUUCGUUUCUACUAGUUAAACAAGGAAAAUAUCCAAGAAACACUGGUAAAUUAUAGUUGUCAAAAAAACAUUUCAGUGGCAGUAGCAAGGUCUCAAGGCCAAGGAAAGGUCAAGUUGUCGAUUUCAUUACAUUUUGCAGUACUUCGAAUGCUUUCGAACUCUUGCUUCAUACAAGAGCAGUAAACGCACGUAUUUCAAAGCGAAAUAAGACGUAUAUAGGCCGAAUGUUUCAACAAAAUUUGUUGUUAAAUUCUGUUUCCUAUGUGCCUUAGGAGCAAAAAAAAGUGAUUUUUAAUUUGGAGCAAAUUUAUUUGCAAUUUGGCCUGGUAUUGCGCCCUAUACCUAUAUUCUGACUGUGAUGUAAAAGUAUAAUCAAAUAUACUAUUUUUAAUUUCCUCUUCAUUGAAAGGAUCUAAUAUUGUGGACUAAACUAAAUCUUAAUCGACAUAUAAGGCUGCAAAUAACAAACAAGUAUUAGCUGGGUAGUUUGCAAACUUUAAAAAUAAUUGGACCUCAAACUGUGACAUCCAAAAGUAAACAAAUAGCCAAUACUGCGAACAUAAUCCAAGUUUUGAUCACUAGGCGGAAUUUUUAGAUGUAAAAAACUUGUUUAAAUUACACUUUAAACAAAGGUAAAAUAAAAUUUGGUAUUAUUUUUUCACAGUGGAACAAAAGUCAAGGUUUUUUUGCUAUCCGCCCACGCUUCUACACCCCCUCUCCCCUGAUCUUCUAUCUCAAAAAACAGUUUUCCGCAGAAACUAUGCUUUUUUUCUCGGAAAAUUUUUUUAUUUCUCUCGCAAAAAUAUUUUAUAAACACGGAAACCUUAAAUGUUUAAAUAAUUUUCAUACCUUUUUGGGAUUGCAAAAAGCAAAAUUUGAUUCAUUAUCCCACUUUCUAAAAUAUAUGUGACAGAGUUGCUUCAUAUUCACUAUCACGCAGUAGCAUGUUUAUUUACCCUCAUCCUGUUGACUGAAUAAAGUUUAUCUUUUUGAAAAGGUAUUUGUUUUAUAGCUCUUGGCUACAGGUUCACGUUUAUGUCGAUUUUGGCACCCAUGAGACCAACAAGUUGUAGUAAUCCGCGAAUGAAAAUGGAUAUUCGAAGAGCAUAAAAGCCAACUCCUAGCUAUAUGUAACUUUAAUCGCCUGUAUUUUUAAUCAAUCCACAAUUAAAAUGCUGAUAAUGUAGAUGCUUCCCAUGCUUGAGAUGUUAGUGAAGAUUUUCCUACCCAAUUUAAUUUCCUUGAUCGCCGUCUUAAAAAUGCAAAAUCAUAAGUUGAAAUUUCUGACUCGUGUUCGGUUUUUUUCAAAGUUUGGAAAAUAUCACGUGCGCCCGCAAUUACUCUGCACAGCGACAACACUUUUCCCAGCCCCUUCAAUGCUUCCCUAUCCCAGGGUGUAAAUAGCCGGGCUGAAUUAGUACCCUCCCUCCCCCCCCUCCCGGUCUAACGGCCGAAAAGGCGCUCCACGCCGUUGGCUCGGGGAUGAUAUACAGUAUUCAGUGGCAAGAUAGCCAUGGCAACUGGUCAUGCCAUGUUAUAAUAAACCUGCAUCAUUUGAAUGAUGCAAAUAAUAAAAAAUUGCAUACCAUGACCUGUUGCUAUGGUUAGCUUUGCCACAGACAGUAUCAUAGUUAUAAUCAAUCUGCAAUGCAAAUCGUUAAAAACUUGCACAGCCUGACCUUAUUCCAUGGCUAGCUUCACCACUGACAGUAUAUUACAACUAGAAAAUACAUGCAUGCAGAAACCCUCGCCUUGCUGACAAAACCAUUGUAUUUUCCGAACAUGAAGUAUCUAAAGUAGUUGUUAUGGUAACACGAUAAUCUUUUAAGAAUAUUCUUACAGAUGAAAAAUCGCCUAAAAAUAUCACUUUUAAUUACAAAAUUAUCAAUUAGUCCCAACAUAUAUAUGUUAGGUAUGUUAAUAUACGUAAUAUAAGCUUCAAUUUAAGGUAAAAUUCAACCACAAUCGCUUCGCAAAACGUUUUAAAGUGUUUUUUAUAAAACAGAACUGCCUUAUAAAUUAAAUGGCUUUAUCGAUAAACUUUGAGUUUGCAAUAAAAUGAUUU